rfam:Chaetomium globosum CBS 148.51 scaffold_10 mitochondrial scaffold, whole genome shotgun sequence.
UACGAGUAUAUAAAGAGACUAUUAUGGAAAUUGCUGCUAUGUAUUAAAGAGAUGUUUUUAGAUUAUGUUUGUUUUUUUUUUUACCACCACCAAAACAUAUGAACUCUUAGAGAAAUUCUUUAAUAAACGAAGUGAACUGAAAUAUCUUAUUAACUUCAGGAAAAAAAAUCAAACGAGAUUCUAUGAUUAGUGUGAACUAAAAUAGAGUAGCCUAUUUAAAUAAGUAAAAUGGCCUUAAAGCUGUUUGAAUUUUAUGGGGAACCUUCCUCAAAGGCUAUAAUAUAAUACAUAAGCGACAGAGUAAAGUACCGUGAGGGAACCGUUUUUGAAAUAGUAGUUUUAUAAGCAGCUCAUGCUUUAAUAAAAGGCUAGAGCGUACCUUUUGCAUAAUGGGUCACCAAGUUAACAUUAGAUGCGAGCGAUAAAAAUUUAGGUAUUUAUAUAUACAGUCUAAUAUAAUUUCUAAUUACAUCUGAGUGUAUGUUUACUUAAUGUAUAUGAUACAUAAUACAUGGUGAAUUUUAAUAUAAAUAUAUAUAAUAUAUAUAUGCGUAGUUAAACCGAUCAUUAAAAUAAUGAAAAGUGUCUAAAGUUAGACCCGAAGCCUGGUGAUCUUACUAUAGUCAGGGCUAUAAAGGUCCGAACGGGUUAUCGUUGCAAAGAUAUCCGAAGAACUAUGGUAAGCAAGUGAAAGACAAUACUGACUAGGAUAGCUGGUUUUCUGCGAAACCUAUAAUAGUAGGCAGUUUAAGUAACAUCUUAGUAGGUACAGAACUUAAUCUCAUACAAGAUGUAUAUUAUCCUAAAUCUUUUUUUAUGAAAUACAUUUUUUUUUGUAAACAUCGGGGGAUCGUGAAGAUUUUAUCGGUGAGUAUGUAGACUCGGAAUGGCAAAGAUGGAUCUUGAAUUAUCGGACAUAGAAUGAUAAGGUUGUAUGUCAAAAGGGAAACAGCCCAGAACAAAGUAGUUAAGGUUCCAAAAUUAUUAUUGAGUGAAAUUAAGAAAGUUUUUAUAUAAGUCGACAAGAAGAUAGGCUUGGAAGCAGCCAUAAUUUAAAGACCUCGUAACAGAGCACUUGUUAAAUCUUAAAAGCAUCGAAAAUUUAUCGGAUCUAAAUAAUAUACCGAGACUUUGUCCAUAAAUAACAUUAAUAUUAAUGUUAUUUGAUGGGGUAGCAGAACGUUGAGUUAAUAUUGGACUUUUUUUUUUUAAAGAAAACUAUAGGACAACUCAAGUGAUAAUGGUGACAUGAGUAACAAAAAAGAAGGGCUAAACCCUCUCGCCUAAAGCUUAUGGUUUAAAGAAAAGUAACGGCCUCUAAGUUUAUAAUCUGAAGAUUGUGACGAUGAGAAAAUCUUAUUACUUUUAAGGACAACAUUUUUUUACGUGGGAAAUGUGCUGGAAAAGUAAGUAAUCUAAAACCGUACCUAAAAACUGACACAAGUAAGCUAGUAGAGAAUACGAAGGCGUAAAUGAGACAACAAUCAUAAAGGAACUCGGCAAACUAACUACCGUAACUUAGGGAUAAGGAGGGCUCAUUCGUCUCGAUUAAUACGAGUAAAAAGGAAGAAGCAUAAAAUGUUGUUGUACGACUGUUUAAUUAAAACAAAGCACUUUGCAAAAGAUGAGAAAUCUAAGUAUUGAGUGUGAUUUCUGCCCGAUGCCGGCUGGUUAACGAAUUUUUUAAAUUGAAAGGUUUGAUUUUAGAGGAACCCCCGGUUAAUGGCGGCCUUAGCGUGAGGGUCCUAAGGUAGCGAAACGCCUUGGCCGUUAAAUGCGGUCUUGCAUGAAUGAUGUAACGAUACAACAGCUGUCUCUAUGAUUGACUCAGUGAAAUUGGAAUAACUGUGCAGAUACAGUUUACCUCUAGGUAGACGAGAAGACCCUAUGCAGCUUUACUAUUACUAAUUAUUGAGUAUGAUCCCGGAUUUUUCUAGUGUAUAAGGUAAUCGAUAAGAUAUAAUUGAAACACCUUUAUAAUUCUGUCAUAUUAUUAAACCUUGCUUUAGUAAGGGACAAUUGCUAGGAGAUAGUUUAUGUGGGGCACAGACCCCAUAAAGAGUAAAUGGGUGUGUCUAAAAUAAAAAAUUAAUGUUUGCGAUUUUUCUUUUAUAGUAAUCCUAUUUAGAAUCAUUUAUGUUCUAUUCAUAGAAUGUAAUACAUAUAACUUAUAUGUAUAUAUAGUCCUUGGAUACAGUGUGAAAGUUAUAUAUGUAUUUAUUUGCAUAUUAAUUUCGAUGAAGUUAGGUAAGAUUUUAUUUAUAGAGAAAUUAGAUGUAAUAAAAAAAAUAUUUUGAGAAUUAAACUCUAAUAUUUUUAUAGUUAUUAUUUUUUAAUAAUAAUAAUGUUUAUUACUUGUAAAGCUUAAUGGCUUAAUCUUGCCUUACUGUUUGAUUAACAACAAAUCUUACAGUCGCGUAAGCGGGGCAUAGGAUCACAAGAUACAAAAAGGAAAGAUCUUGGAUUUUUGGAAAAGCUACGCUAGGGAUGUUUGUCCUUCAAUAUUAAAAAAAAAAUAAUUGAGAAAAUAUUGGGUUAAUUUCAAAAAUUACUUUUUAGCCGGCUACUCGUUAC